GGCCACGCCGAUUUGCCGUCAGAGAGUGAGCUCCAUGGCGUCGCUCUGAUGGCAGUGUACUCAGUGGCAGAUUAAAAAAUUGGACACUCUUCUUUAUUUGGGCCUUUUGUUCUUCAAUCCUUUGACUUUUGGCCUUAACAAAGAAAGAGAUAAU
rnacentral:snoRNA from 1 species